CCUGGCUCAGAUUGAACGCUGGCGGCAUGCCUAACACAUGCAAGUCGAACGGCAGCAUAGUCUAGUUUACUAGAUGGGUGGCGAGUGGCGAACGGGUGAGUAACGCGUAGGAAUAUACCUUAAAGAGGGGGACAACUCGAGGAAACUCGAGCUAAUACCGCAUAAGCUCUGAGGAGUAAAGCUGGAGACCUUCGGGCCUGGCGCUUUAAGAUUAGCCU
rnacentral:rRNA from 1 species